ensembl:lncRNA
CCAUGUCCGGUCAAGUUUCCCUCCUGUGUGAUAACUGCUCCCUCCCCUAAUGUGUUUCAGCUGUAACUCAUUGCGUGCCCUGUGUUUAGUAUUUAAGCCCUUGUCUUUCCUUUGUUCCUUGUCGGAUCAUUGUAGUUCGUGGUCUCCAGUCUACUAUGAACGAGGAGAGAGACGAGGCGGGUCUUGCAUCUAAAACCCCUCUGUCUGAGGAACAUGGCUGCCAGAGUGAAGCUAAGAGAAGAUUCCAACAGGAGAGAGCAGACUGCCCUGUGCCCAGCUGUGCCUCCCUGAAGAGAGACUGGUCUAUGGAGCAUCCUCCUCAAUUUAAAGAAGGACGCCCCACUGGAGAGCAGAA